rnacentral:rRNA from 1 species
UACGUAGGGUGCGAGCGUUGUCCGGAAUUAUUGGGCGUAAAGAGCUUGUAGGCGGUUUGUCGCGUCUGCCGUGAAAUUUCGAGGCUCAACCUCGAACUUGCGGUGGGUACGGGCAGACUAGAGUGUGGUAGGGGAGACUGGAAUUCCUGGUGUAGCGGUGAAAUGCGCAGAUAUCAGGAGGAACACCGAUGGCGAAGGCAGGUCUCUGGGCCACUACUGACGCUGAUCUGCGAAAGCUAGGGGAGCAAACAGG